GAGUGCUUUGUCUUGUCAUAUCUCUACAGACUACUGCUGUCUUGUUGAUAGCUGUGCCUGUUUGGCUGCAGUCCAGAAGAUACAGUGGUAUGCUGAAGAGGAAGAUGUCAGUGAAUACCAUGAGCAAAUCUGAAUUCAGGAGCUGACCAAUGAAAAUUGGAAAGGUUUACAGAGUUUAAAUUACUGCAAAGUUCCUGUUAAUAUUUGACCAAACAAGCUUUAUAAAUUCAGAGAUGAGACAGAAUGUGGGUUGCUUCUUGUUUAGUUCUGUUUUUUAGAAGAAAAAUUUAGACUGGAAAUCAACUUUUCAGGAGUAAAACUUAUUUCUGUUAGAGCCUGCUGUGCCUGUUCAUACAACCCUAUGUGGAGAAGAUUCUGAGAAGAAAAAAAGAAGAAGAAGAAGAAAACAUAAUAAAUCUGAAGUGAUACGAUAUGUCCCAGCAAAUGUGAAUUGUGAAUCACAAAGAAGGAAAUGUAUGAGAGCAGCUCUGAAAAGAUUUUUUUAUGUUGGUCUAUGGCAACAGAGGUGGAUGAUGGUGGUUUCUCAGUGGGCUGAACCUUCCUGUCAGUAUCCUAUUGCUGUGUGACAGAUUGCAACAGAAGAGCAGAUGGACAAAAUUGCAUUUGACAUGGAAGUGUGUAUACAGUAAAGGUAUGGAAUUUAAUUCUUCCACGCAGAAAAAAGUUGUACCUACUGACAUUCACUGACACAUACUGAAUGGUUCUACAGAUUGAAGAGUGAAUUUGAACGUAGUGAGAUGGUGUGUGUGAUGCAAUUCAGCAGUGGUGACAGUGACAGUGGGUCACCUCCACUGGUGCUGAUUUUUCAAGUAUGGCAUAGGGAGUCUUGUUUACCACCCACAAGAACACAUAGCUACUGAUGGUGACUACAUUG
rnacentral:lncRNA from 1 species